ACGGGUGAGUAACGCGUGGGAAUCUACCCAACUCUACGGAAUAACUCAGGGAAACUUGUGCUAAUACCGUAUACGCCCUUCGGGGGAAAGAUUUAUCGGAGUUGGAUGAGCCCGCGUUGGAUUAGCUAGUUGGUGGGGUAAAGGCCUACCAAGGCGACGAUCCAUAGCCGGUCUGAGAGGAUGAUCAGCCACAUUGGGACUGAGACACGGCCCAAACUCCUACGGGAGGCAGCAGUGGGGAAUAUUGGACAAUGGGCGCAAGCCUGAUCCAGCCAUGCCGCGUGUGUGAUGAAGGCCUUAGGGUUGUAAAGCACUUUCACCGGAGAAGAUAAUGACGGUAUCCGGAGAAGAAGCCCCGGCUAACUUCGUGCCAGCAGCCGCGGUAAUACGAAGGGGGCUAGCGUUGUUCGGAAUUACUGGGCGUAAAGCGCACGUAGGCGGAUCGAUCAGUCAGGGGUGAAAUCCCAGAGCUCAACUCUGGAACUGCCUUUGAUACUGUCGAUCUAGAGUAUGGAAGAGGUGAGUGGAAUUCCGAGUGUAGAGGUGAAAUUCGUAGA
rnacentral:rRNA from 2 species